rnacentral:rRNA from 1 species
CCUACGGGCGGCUGCAGUGGGGAAUAUUGCACAAUGGGCGCAAGCCUGAUGCAGCCAUGCCGCGUGUGUGAAGAAGGCCUUCGGGUUGUAAAGCACUUUCAGCGGGGAGGAAGGCGGUGAGGUUAAUAACCUCAUCGAUUGACGUUACCCGCAGAAGAAGCACCGGCUGACUCCGUGCCAGCAGCCGCGGUAAUACGGAGGGUGCAAGCGUUAAUCGGAAUUACUGGGCGUAAAGCGCACGCAGGCGGUCUGUCAAGUCGGAUGUGAAAUCCCCGGGCUCAACCUGGGAACUGCAUUCGAAACUGGCAGGCUAGAGUCUUGCAGAGGGGGGUAGAAUUCCAGGUGUAGCGGUGAAAUGCGUAGAGAUCUGGAGGAAUACCGGUGGCGAAGGCGGCCCCCUGGACAAAGACUGACGCUCAGGUGCGAAAGCGUGGGGAGCAAACAGGAUUAGAUACCCCUGUAGUC